rnacentral:rRNA from 1 species
AUUGGUUGAUCCUGCCAGUAGUCAUAUGCUUGUCUUAAAGAUUAAGCCAUGGAUGGUGCCAACCGCGAAUGGCUCAUUAAAUCUGUUAUGAUAUCAUGAUAUGUGUUUUGUUAAUUGGAUAACUGUGGUAAUUGUAGAGCUAAUACAUGCAUAUACGUUUAGCUGCGGUUGGAUGUGCUUUUAUUAGUGCAAACCAUGUCGUAAGGCUAUAGGUGGUGACUCUGAAUGACUUGCCGAGCAUUUCGGCUUUGUGUCGGUGCUAGUUCUUCAAAGUAUCUGCUCUAUCAACUGUCGAUGGUAUAUUAUAUGUUUACCAUGGUUUUACGGGGAAUUAGGGUUCGGUUCCGGAGAGAGAGCCUGAGAAACGGCUACCACAUCUAAGGAAGGCAGCAGGCGCGCAAAUUACCCAAUCCCGGCUCGGGGAGGUAGUGAUAAAGAUAGCAAUACGGGUCUUAAAUGAGGCUUUGUAAUUGAAAUGAGUGCAAUCUUUAACGAGGAACUAUUAGAUGGCAAGAUUAGAUGGUCUGGUGGGAGCAGCCGCGGUAAUUCCAGCUCCAAUAGCGUAUAUUAAAAUUGUUGCGUCUAAAAAACUCGUAGUUUGAAAACUUGCCUUGACUUGCAAUAGGUCCACAUGGGCCACCGUUUGUCGAGCGCAAAUAUGGAUGACUGUUUUUGCCGGCUUGAUUGUUUGGCUUAUAAGAGUUAUCAAAUAUCACUUUGAUUACAUUAGAGUGCUUAAAGCAAGUGUAUUACUUGAAUAUAAAUGCAUGGAAUGAUGGAAUAUGUUAUUGUUUUAUUUGCUGGUUUCGGAACGAUGAAAUGAUUGAAAGGGAUGGGGGCAUUCGUAUUGUUGUGAGAGAGGUGAAAUUCUUAGACUAAGUAAAGUUUUCGAGCUGACCCUCAGCCAAGAUUUAACGUCCACGGAAUUGUUUUUCACAUUGCUUCACAGACGGACCCCCAUAUCACAGACGGACCCCCAUAUCACAAACGGACCCCCAUAGAAAUUCUUAGACUAUAGCAAGACGAACUACCGCGAAAGCAUUUGUCAAAAAUGUUUUCAUUG